rfam:Bombyx mori DNA, contig: Bm_scaf35_contig21144, strain: p50T/Dazao, build 2, whole genome shotgun sequence.
UUAACUCAGAUUUGUAUAGAUUUGGAACGUUCGCCUACGUUUGCCGCUAGGGGCGCUGUUCCAACUGCAUACAAAUUUAAGAUA